GACGAACGCUGGCGGCGUGCUUAACACAUGCAAGUCGAACGGAAAGGCCCUGCUUUUGUGGGGUGCUCGAGGGGCGAACGGGGGAGUAACACGUGAGUAACCUGCCCUUGACUUUGGGAUAACUUCAGGAAACUGGGGCUAAUACCGGAUAGGAGAUCCUGCAGCAUGGAGGGGGUUGGAAAGUUUCGGCGGUUGGGGAUGGACGCGCGGCUGAUGAGCUUGUUGGUGGGGUAGGGGCUUCCCAAGGAUUUGAAGGGUAGGCGGCCCGGGAGGGUGGCCGGCCUCAUGGGUCCUGAGGUACGGCCCAGACUCCUACGGGAGGCAGCGGGGGGGAACCUGGCCCAAUGGGCGGGCGCGUGUGGCAGCAACGCCGCGUUCGUGAUGACGUCCUUCGGGUUGUAAACCGCUUUCGCCUGUGACGAAGCGUUAGUGACGGUAAUGGGUAAAGAAGCACCGGCUAACUACGUG
rnacentral:rRNA from 1 species